UGUUCUGCCAGGCCUCCUGCAGGAGCUCAGGCCAGACCAGUGGCCUCCUACGAAUUUUAUCAAACGCGACUCAGACGAUGCCGUUCAGGCAAGGUUGAGAACCAAGCCCAGCACUGCCUGGUCCAGCCCCUGGGAAGGAAGGCAGGGCCGGGAGCCCCUCCUGCCGCCAGCAGCGACCCUGUCUCGGAAGGUUGUCUUUUCAGGGACGCUUGUACAGCAGACAGCCUUGGAAGAAAGAGAGAGAGUCUCACUCAGGAGCUCAGGACAGGGUGGAGCUGUGAGGAAUCUGGGCUGACUGCAGGGUCCCACCUGCCAGGAACAAGAACAGCUCCUUCCCGAGGCCCGGUCGUCACUGUUUCCUGAUCACCCGAAAGUGAACACCCAAAGCAUGCAAGGAACACCUUUUGUUCCCAACAGGCCUGGAAAGAGCCCUGCCCGGCCUGCUGGGGAGGCGAGCUGUUCCUGCAACAGCUUGUAAGCAAAGCGUCUCAGUAAAACAAAA
rnacentral:lncRNA from 1 species